rnacentral:tRNA from 1 species
AUUGUAACAGCCAAGUGGUUAAGGCUCUGGACUUGAGAUCCAGUGGAUUUAUAUCCUCGUGGGUUCGAACCCCACUUCUGGUA